CCAAAUCUACAUCAUAUUUGUUGGCAGAACCAUUGAACGACCAUGCCAAAUCUACAUCACAUCUUUAUAAGGCUAAACGCUCAAACCCAACAUUUGCUCGAGCAAGCCAGAUCCUACCAAAAUCAUUUCAACCCAUGUGUAGUUAUCCAUCCAAAAUUGAUAUAGAUAUAAUUGCUUAGAAAAAAAUAAAGAUAGUUAAAACCAUCAUCCAAUAAAUUUCGAAAGGCAUUUCAUCAAACGGUGGCAUGGCAUCUAGCAGAAAAGACUAUAUACACAAACUGAGCCUAUGCUCUCCACCAGGGAUUGUAAUACAAGCAUUCAUUUAGAUGUCCACCGUCCCCAAUAACCUUUAGAUGAGAAUUGAACAUCUAACAUAUUCUAAGGCAUUUCAUCAAACAGUGGCACGACAUUAAGCAGAAAAAAAAUUAUUCAGGCAAGCGAGCAAGACCGAUCUGACAAUAAUCCCAUGAAUCCUCGAUAUCAUGGCCUCACCACACGCCAGCGACGAACACCAACGAGAAGAUGACACAUCCUCCACGACCAUCGAUGAGCACCAAUGUCCACUUGCUAUGAUCUAGUGCCUCUUCUUCAAUGCUUCUCUGCGAUAGGAGAUGGAGAUUGAGAACGAGGGAGGUGUGGGAUCGAAAAUGAGGAAGAAAUCAAUAUUCAAAAUGCCCCCAACAUUCUGAAAUUUUACCGCCCAAUCCACUUCCUGCUAAUUUGCCUUUAGAUGUUGAAAAAAUUACUCGUGAC
rnacentral:lncRNA from 1 species